rnacentral:rRNA from 1 species
GUCGAACGGCAGCAUGAUCUAGCUUGCUAGAUUGAUGGCGAGUGGCGAACGGGUGAGUAAUACAUCGGAACGUGCCCUGUAGUGGGGGAUAACUAGUCGAAAGAUUAGCUAAUACCGCAUACGACCUGAGGGUGAAAGUGGGGGACCGCAAGGCCUCAUGCUAUAGGAGCGGCCGAUGUCUGAUUAGCUAGUUGGUGAGGUAAAGGCUCACCAAGGCGACGAUCAGUAGCUGGUCUGAGAGGACGAUCAGCCACACUGGGACUGAGACACGGCCCAGACUCCUACGGGAGGCAGCAGUGGGGAAUUUUGGACAAUGGGGGCAACCCUGAUCCAGCAAUGCCGCGUGUGUGAAGAAGGCCUUCGGGUUGUAAAGCACUUUUGUCCGGAAAGAAAUCGCACUUACUAAUAUUAGGUGUGGAUGACGGUACCGGAAGAAUAAGGACCGGCUAACUACGUGCCAGCAGCCGCGGUAAUACGUAGGGUCCAAGCGUUAAUCGGAAUUACUGGGCGUAAAGCGUGCGCAGGCGGUUGUGCAAGACCGAUGUGAAAUCCCGGGCUUAACCUGGGAAUUGCAUUGGUGACUGCACGGCUAGAGUGUGUCAGAGGGGGGUAGAAUUCCACGUGUAGCAGUGAAAUGCGUAGAGAUGUGGAGGAAUACCGAUGGCGAAGCAGCCCCUGGGAUACACUGACGCUCAUGCACGAANGCGUGGGGNAGCAANCAGGAUNNGAUACCCUGGUAGUCCACGCCCUAAACGAUGUCAACUAGUUGUUGGGGAUUCAUUUCUUAGUAACGUAGCUAACGCGUGAAGUUGACCGCCUGGGGAGUACGGUCGCAAGAUUAAAACUCAAAGGAAUUGACGGGGACCCGCACAAGCGGUGGAUGAUGUGGAUUAAUUCGAUGCAACGCGAAAAACCUUACCUACCCUUGACAUGCCACUAACGAAGCAGAGAUGCAUUAGGUGCUCGAAAGAGAAAGUGGACACAGGUGCUGCAUGGCUGUCGUCAGCUCGUGUCGUGAGAUGUUGGGUUAAGUCCCGCAACGAGCGCAACCCUUGUCUCUAGUUGCUACGAAAGGGCACUCUAGAGAGACUGCCGGUGACAAACCGGAGGAAGGUGGGGAUGACGUCAAGUCCUCAUGGCCCUUAUGGGUAGGGCUUCACACGUCAUACAAUGGUGCAUACAGAGGGUUGCCAAGCCGCGAGGUGGAGCUAAUCCCAGAAAAUGCAUCGUAGUCCGGAUCGUAGUCUGCAACUCGACUACGUGAAGCUGGAAUCGCUAGUAAUCGCGGAUCAGCAUGCCGCGGUGAAUACGUUCCCGGGUCUUGUACACACCGCCCGUCACACCAUGGGAGUGGGUUUUGCCAGAAGUAGUUAGCCUAACCGCAAGGGGGGCGAUUACCACGGCAGGGUUCAUGACUGGGGUGAAGUCGUAACAAGGUA